rnacentral:rRNA from 1 species
UACGGAGGAUGCAAGCGUUAUCCGGAAUGAUUGGGCGUAAAGGGUCCGCAGGUGGCAGUGUAAGUCUGUUGUCAAAGAAUGAGGCUUAACCUCAUCAAGGCAGUGGAAACUACACAGCUAGAGUACGGUCGGGGUAGAAGGAAUUCCUGGUGUAGCGGUGAAAUGCGUAGAGAUCAGGAAGAACACCGGUGGCGAAAGCGUUCUGCUAGACCUGUACUGACACUGAGGGACGAAAGCUAGGGGAGCGAAUGGG